UUUUGUUUUACAGUUCGAAGGCAAUUGAGAGAGGGAGGGAGAGAGAGAAGGGAGACGCAGUUCGGAGACACAGAGAGAGAUGCACAACCACCAUCACCGGCGAGUUCUCCGCUGUCCUCAGCGAAGAGAGAAAGAUGAAACAAGUGCAAAAUGAAAUGAGAGAAGAAGAAAUCUUUUGAGAAGAACGACGGUCCUCUGCCAUUGUUGUCCGCCGGAGCUCUCUCACGCCAUAGAUUAAACCAGAUUGUGGAUACGGAAGGGGAAAGAAUGAGAAAGGUAAAGAUGAAGAUAGAAAAGAUAAAGCAAAGACCAAAGAUUUUGACAAACAGAAAGGAAAACACAAGGAUGAGGAAACAUGAAAGUGAGAAAAUUAAAUUUAAGAAACAAAUUUGGCUGGUUUGCAAUAGUGGAUCCUUGGUUGCAUAAGCAGUGACUUGAUUGAUAACAAUAAAGUGAGAUCAAAUGAAAUGUCGUAGUUAAAUUAAUAUGAAUGUUACAGUUAGAUUAAAUAUUUGUAAUGACAAUAUUGAUGGAAUAAAAUGAUAUGUUGGUUGAUUGAAUGAAA